ACUCACCAGGUCCAGACACGAUGAGGAUUGACAGAUUGAGAGCUCUUUCUUGAUUUCGUGGGUGGUGGUGCAUGGCCGUUCUUAGUUGGUGGAGUGAUUUGUCUGCCUAAUCGCGAUAACGAACGAGACCUUAACCUGCUAAAUAGCCCGCG
rnacentral:rRNA from 1 species